CUACACCAUCAACUUCAUCCUCAACAUCAACAGAUGCAUCACUUCUCAGUGCUGAUGUUUCCUCUAUAGCACAAGCUCUAUAAUUAUAGCUGAUAUCCUGCACAGCCCAGAGUUUAAACUGAUAAGUGUGUGCUGUCAUAUUAUUAGAAAAAACUAUUGAAUUCCCACCAAACUGUGUAAAUACCAGUCACUUUUGCCCAUGGACAUUUCAGAAUUUUUAAUAUAUAGUAGUGCCUGUCAAAUGUCUAGGUGUCAGACACUCAGUGAUGCAUUCUGUACCUGAACAGAUGGAUUAUAUUAAAAUUUAUAAUUAGAACUGAAAAAUGUUUAUGUGAGUGUAUGUGUGUGUGUGUGUGUGUCCAUGUCCAUUUUGCUUGGGGCCCCCAAAUUCCUUCAAACGGCCCUGUAGUGUGUGUGUGUGUGUGUGUUUGUGUGUGUAUUGGUUUAUUAACUUAUAUACUUAAAAUCUAGAUAUCUGCAUACAGCAACAUUUCAUACUUCAAUAUAUGUGCUUAAAAAAAUAAAAAUAAAAAGUACAUUUGCAUGUGAUAAAUAAUAGAUGAUCUUCUUAACAUUUUCAUUGUUAAAUUACCUUUUCCCAUAAAUCUUUAAAUGUUUAUUCCAAUAAAACACUUGUCUUCCAAUAAUAAUAUAAUGCAAUAAUUUGUUGUGUGAUUUCAAACAGCUUUUCUUCAUUUGAGCUGAAUCUUGUAUAACAUCUCUGUGACGUGUGAAGAGAUUGAGACUGAAUACAGACUCCAUGCUGUUAUAAUGAAUCAAACUAAUAAUCCUGACUGUGAUCAGAGCUGGUAUCUACAGGACAGGCGUCUGAUAGCAGAUCCAUCAGAUCCUCAGAAACUGACUGAUCCUGUGAUUUCUGUCUCGUCUGAUCGUCUCGUCACGUCUCGCUGUGUGAAUCUGACUCAUCAGAUCAUCUGUCAUUCUGUUGGAUUCAGACUGGAGCCCAUGUUCAGAGAUGAGAGAAAGACGAUGUUUCUGGAGGACAGACGAUGAUCUCUGUGUGGAGAGGUUGAGAGUAUAAUGUUGGGACUCCAUCAGUCUUUGUGUGGCAUCGGCUGAAAUCAGUGGAUCUGUAGUUCCCUGAAUCUUCAGUCGUUUCAGUCUCUCGGAGCAGACAGUGUCUUUCAGAGAGAAUCAGUAAACACUCACUUCCUGAGGACAGGGACGCUCUGCAACAUUUAUGCGUCUUGUGGACUGUGUAAUAUGUUGAUGAUACAUGAGAUGAGACACAGACCACAGACUGAACUACUGCAUCAACAUGUGCUUUAAUGUGAUUCUCACAGGUGUAUUCACACACAUGUUCUGCUAGAAUACAUUACACCUCCCUUUUUAACAACUCAGAGCUUCAAUCAUUUGUUUGAACACUCAACAAUGUAUUUAAUGUCAGCAUGAAAUGCUCUCUGUUUCUUCUGUAUCCGUUCAUCAGGUGUGUGGACAAAGAAAGAUCUCAGCAGCUCAUGUUUGCUCAGCACAGUAGCUGCUGGUUUACUUUUUUUCUGUGCUUGAUAUGCUUCUGUUAUCUCCUGGAAGUCUGUCUGUUAAAUGUCCAGAUAAAGAUCUGGAUCAGUGUUAUUUGUAGGUUUUUUUUGUUUUUUUUUUUUUUUUGGAUCCUCUGACUUCAAACUAGACACUGAAACAAAAAAAAGUCACUUAGGAUAAAAGCGUCUGCUAAAUUAAUAAAUGUAAAAGAAACCCGUCUGUUCCGAAACA
ensembl:lncRNA